UACGGGGGGGGCAAGCGUUGUUCGGAAUUGCUGGGCGUAAAGGGUGCGUAGGGGGCGCUGUAAGUCGGGUGUGAAAUCCUGAGGCUUAACCUCGGAACUGCAUUCGAUACUGCGGUGCUUGAGGACUGGAGAGGAGACUGGAAUUCAUGGUGUAGCAGUGAAAUGCGUAGAGAUCAUGAGGAAGACCAGUGGCGAAGGCGGGUCUCUGGACAGUUCCUGACACUGAGGCACGAAGGCCAGGGGAGCAAACGGG
rnacentral:rRNA from 1 species